rnacentral:rRNA from 1 species
CCUACGGGAGGCAGCAGUAGGGAAUAUUGCUCAAUGGGGGAAACGCUGAAGCAGCAACGCCGCGUGGAGGAUGAAGGUUUUCGGAUUGUAAACUCCUUUUGUUAGAGAAGAUAAUGACGGUAUCUAACGAAUAAGCACCGGCUAACUCCGUGCCAGCAGCCGCGGUAAUACGGAGGGUGCAAGCGUUACUCGGAAUCCCUGGGCGUAAAGAGCGCGUAGGCGGGAUAGCAAGUCAGAUGUGAAAUCCUAUGGCUUAACCAUAGAACUGCAUGUGAAACUGGUAUUCUAGAGUAUGGGGGAGGUAGGUGGAAUUCUUGGUGUAGGGGUAAAAUCCGUAGAGAUCAAGAGGAAUACUCAUUGCGAAGGCGACCUGCCAGAACAUAACUGACGCUGAGGCGCGAAAGCGUGGGGAGCGAACAGGAUUAGAUACCCUUGUAGUC